CGUAGGUGGCAAGCGUUGUCCGGAUUUAUUGGGUUUAAAGGGUGCGUAGGCGGUUCCAUAAGUCAGUGGUGAAAUACAAUAGCUUAACUAUUGAGGUGCCAUUGAUACUGCGGAACUUGAGUACAGACGAGGUAGGCGGAAUUGACGGUGUAGCGGUGAAAUGCUUAGAUAUCGUCAAGAACACCGAUAGCGAAGGCAGCUUACUAGACUGUAACUGACGCUGAGGCACGAAAGUGUGGGGGAUCAAACAGGAUUAGAUACCCUGGUAGUCCACACUGUAAACGAUGAUUACUCGAUGUUGGCGAUACACAGCCAGCGUCUUAGCAAAAGCGAUAAGUAAUCCACCUGGGGAGUACGCCGGCAACGGUG
rnacentral:rRNA from 1 species